UACGUAGGGGGCUAGCGUUGUCCGGAUUUAUUGGGCGUAAAGGGCUCGUAGGCGGUCUGUCACGUCGGGAGUGAAAACACGGGGCUUAACCCCGUGCCUGCUUCCGAUGACGGGCAGACUAGAGGUAUGCAGGGGAGACGGAAUUCCUGGUGUAGCGGUGAAAUGCGCAGAUAUCAGGAGGAACACCGGUGGCGAAGGCGGUUCUCUGGGCAUUACCUGACGCUGAGGAGC
rnacentral:rRNA from 1 species